rnacentral:rRNA from 2 species
GUGGGGAAUCUUGGACAAUGGGCGCAAGCCUGAUCCAGCCAUGCCGCGUGAGUGAAGAAGGUCUUCGGAUUGUAAAGCUCUUUUACCAGGGACGAUAAUGACGGUACCUGGAGAAUAAGCCCCGGCAAACUUCGUGCCAGCAGCCGCGGUAAUACGAAGGGGGCUAGCGUUGUUCGGAAUUACUGGGCGUAAAGCGCACGUAGGCGGGUCGUUAAGUCAGGGGUGAAAUCCCGGAGCUCAACUCCGGAACUGCCUUUGAUACUGGCGAUCUAGAGAUCGGAAGAGGUUAGUGGAAUUCCCAGUGUAGAGGUGAAAUUCGUAGAUAUUGGGAAGAACACCAGUGGCGAAGGCGGCUAACUGGUCCGAUACUGACGCUGAGGUGCGAAAGCGUGGGGAGCAAACAGGAUUAGAAACCCGUGUAGUCC